rnacentral:rRNA from 1 species
AGCGAACGCUGGCGGCAGGCCUAACACAUGCAAGUCGAACGGACUCUUCGGAGUUAGUGGCGGACGGGUGAGUAACACGUGGGAACGUGCCUUUAGGUUCGGAAUAAGCCCGGGAAACUGGGUCUAAUACCGAAUGUGCCCUUCGGGGGAAGGAUUUAUCGCCUUUAGUAGCGGCCCGCGUCUGAUUAGCUAGUUGGUGGUGUAAUGGACCACCAAGGCUACGAUCAGUAGCUGGUCUGAGAGGANGACCAGCCACAUUGGGACUGAGACACGGCCCAAACUCCUACGGGAGGCAGCAGGUGGGGAAUCUUGCGCAAUGGGCGAAAGCCUGACGCAGCCAUGCCGCGUGGAUGAUGAAGGUCUUA